rnacentral:lncRNA from 1 species
UGGUUGUGCAGGGCCAUGUGUGAAGACAGCAUGAGUCUUAACCCCUCUUUUAUUUUAUUUUUGAGACAGAGUCUCGCUCUGUUGCCCAGGCUGGAGUGCUGUGGCGCGAUCUCUGCUCACUGCAACCUCCACCUCCCGGGUUCAAGUGAUUCUCCUGCCUCAGCCUGCCGAGUAGCUGGAAUUACAGGCAUGAGCCACUGCACCUGGCCUUAACCCCUCUUUAGAUUGGAAAAAAUAAUUACAACUUUAAAAAUAGCUUAGUGUUGAACCCUUUGGUAAACUAAAGACCCUUUUAUAAUGCACAUAUUCCCAACAAAAUUAAUAUAUUUUGUGAGAUUAAACAAUGCUUGUAUAUGCUUGAACUUUCUUAAAAUAUGUCCAUGUCAUACUAUUAUGAAUGUACAUUUUUAUGAGUCAUAAAUAUUAUUUUCAAAA